rnacentral:lncRNA from 10 species
GAAGCCCCAUGGUCCCGGGCCCUGAGGGACUGUCUACUGGGUGAUCGUGGCAUGGGGACAGGCUUGCAGGACAAGAACACUGGUCAUACCAAGAGAACCUGCUCUGAAAAUUGAAUUUUCCACAAGCCUAGCUGCUGAAAAGGCCCGUUGUAACCUGAGGACCAGUUUAAGCUCAUAUUUUCUCAAACACACUGCCCUGACUCGAAGACUAACCUUACCUCCAGCUGUCACUCACCAGUCAGAGCUCGCCAGCUCCCAGAAGCUUCUCCAGAGCCAAUGUGCUUUCUUUCCAAACAAUACCUAACAUUUCUCUAAUAAAACUCUCACCUUUUUUAAAAAAAAACUUUUAUUUUAGGUUUGAAGGUGCAUGUUCAGGUUUGUUAUCAGUUUACAUAGGUGAACUCGUGUCAUGGGCAUUUGUUGUACAGAAUUUUUUCAUCACCCAGGUAUUAAACCCAGUACCCACUAGUUAUCUUUUCUGCUCCUCUCCCUCCUCCCACCCUCCACCCUCAAGUAAGCCCCAUUGUGUGUUGUUCCCCUCUAUGUGUCCAUGUGUUGUGAUCAUUUAGCUCCCACUUAUAAGUGAGAACAUGUGGUAUCUGGUUUUCUGUUUCUGCCUAGUUUGCUAAGGAUAAUGGCCUCCCACUCCAUCCAUGUUCCUGAAAAAGAUGAUCUCAUUUUUUAUGGCUGCAUAGUGUUCCAUGGUGUAUAUAUGCCACAUGUUCUUUAUCUAAUCUGUCAUUGAUGGUCAUUUAAGUUGAUUCCAUGUCUUCGCUAUUGUGAACAGUGCUGCAAUGAAUAUUUGUGUGCAUGUGUUUUUAAAGUACAAUGAUUUAUAUUCCUCUGGGUAUAUAAAUUCCAAAUGGGAUUGCUGAGUCAAAUGGUAGCUCUGUUUUUAGCUCUUUGAGGAAUUGCCACACUGCUUUCUUCAAUGGUUGAACUAAUUUGCACUCCCAACAACAGUGUAUAAGCGUUCCCUUUCCUCCAGCAUCUGUCAUUUUGUGACUUUUUAAUAAUAACCAUUCUGACUUGUGUGAGAAGAUAUCUCAUUGUGGUUUUGUUUUGCGUUUCUCUAAUGAUCAGUGAUAUUGAGCUUUUUUUUCAUAUGCUUGUUGGCCAUAUGUAUGUCUUCUUUUGAAAAGUGUCUCUUCAUGUCCUUUGCCCAGUUUUUAAUGGGGUUGUUUUUCUCUUGUAAAUUUCUUUAAGUUCCGUAGAGAUGCUGAAUAUUAUGUCUUUGUCAGAUGCAUAGUUUGCAAAUAUUUUCUCCUAUUCUGUAGGUUUUCUGUUUACUUUGUUGAUGGCUUCUUUUGCUCUGCAGAGGCUCUUAAGUUUAAUUAGAUUCCAUCUGUCAAAUUUUGCUUUUGUUGCAAUUGCUUUUGGUGUCUUCAUCAUGAAAUUUUUGUCCGUUUCUAUGUCCAGGAUGGUAUUGCCUAGGUUGUCUUCCAGGGUUUUUACAGUUUUGGGUUUUGCAUUUUAGUCUUUAAUCCAGCAGUCCACAACCUUUUUGGCACCAGGGACUGACUCUGUGGAAGACAAUGUUCCCACAGAGAGCAGUAGGCAGGGAGAUGAUUUCGGGAUGAAACUGUUCCACUUCAGAUCAUCAGGUAUUAGUUAGAUUCUCAAAAGGAGUGCACAACCUAGAUCCCUCACAUGUGCAUUUCACGAUAGGGUUUGCACUCUUAUGAGAAUCUAAUGCUGCUGCUGAUCUGAUGGGAGGUGGAGCUCAGGUGGUAAUGCUUGCUUACCAGCCACUCACCUCCUGCUGCACGGCCUGGUCCCUAACAAGCCACAGAAUGGUACCAGUCCAUUGCCCAGGGGUUGGGGACCUCUGCUUUAAUCCAUCUUGAGUUAAUUUUUGUAUAUGGUGAGAGGAAGGGGUCCAGUUUCAAUCUUCUGCAUAUGGCUAGCCAGCUAUCCCAGCACCAUUUAUUGAAUAGAGAAUCCUUUCCCCAGUGCUUGUUUUUGUCAGGUUUGUCAAAGAUCAGAUACUUGUAAGUACGCGGCCUUAUUUCUGGGUUCUCUAUUCUGUUCCAUUGGUCUAUAUGCCUGUUUUUGUCCCGGUACCAUGCUGUUUUGAUUACUGUAGCCCUGUAAUACUGUUUGAAGUCAGGUAGCGUGAUGCCUCCAGCUUUGUUCUUUCUGCUUAGGAUUGCCCCUGGGCUAUUCUGGUUCCAUAUGAAUUUUAAAAUAAAAACUCUCAACUUUCUCUUUGUUCUUGGAACACACUGAAGACCACCCGAUCUGUGAGUAUGCCCCACUUUGCCAUUCUUGCCUCCUAAAUAAUCAGUGUUAAGUUUAGAGAGUCAUCUCUAUAUUUUAUUUGACUUCAGCAAUGUAAACUGUGAGUCAGAGCUGCAGUGGUGGAGGCUGCAACCUUGGCAGCGGGAAGGUCAGUUCACAGGGUUUCUCGGCAUGCUCCUCCUGUGUCCCCACCGUCUAUAGGUGCCCUCCAUCAUACAUGUGCCCUUGGCUUGUAGACUGGCCUGAUCUUUCCAGAACUAUUUUUGGUCAUGCCUCAUGCAUGAGCUUGUGCCUGAGCACAAUGAUGUGAAAAUUAAUUUAGUCAUAUCUUGUCCAAACUAAAAACAUUGAACCAUUUUAAAGGAAAGCAGCUUCCCAAUGUUGCCAUAUAUUGUUUUAAAAUAAUUGUAAAAAGUAGUUGCUCACGUAACAGCACUGGGCCUGCCAUUGACCUUGCACGAGAUGCCUCACACACAUCUGAGAGGCUGUUACUGUGGACGCAGUCCUCAGUGCUGCUGCUGCAUGGGACCCUGCUUCAGAGGAGCUCUGCAACAGCAAAAGUGCCAAGCAGAUCGAAGAGGACACAGCAGGACCAUGUGGGGCCCUCCUCCCAGUGGUCAGUUACAUCUUUUGGUAUCAUGGUGGAGGUUGGGGGUGCCCCUGAGCUUCCUGUGCCCCCUUCCCAUGCCCACUGUACCCACCAUGACAAGCUGAGCAUGUUUCUGUAGCCAUCCUCUACCCUGAGUAGAUACUCUGCAUUUUUACUGUGCAAUGCUUUCAGGACUGUGCCUCUGUGGUCACCCCUGUCGUCCAGCUCCGUUAUGGCCAUGGGAACCAGAACCUGGCAUGUUCCAGCACCUCAUUCUGCAGUUAGAAAUCAACAAAACCUCCCAAAUGGGAGAGGAGGGCCUAAAACCCUUGGGAAAUUUCCUUUGCGAGAUUUUCAUGAGACUUGGAAUGUCCUGAAGUUUAAUAUGUGAAGGUAUUUGAAUGACACAUAGAACUCCGUGUAAGACAGGUGUAGCCAAAAGAGAAAACCAUUCAUGUCAACAGUCUCCCUCGUGCUCUUUCAGAGACCCUCUGAAUUAUAGCACCCAGAGGCCCUGGAUGUCUUGGGAGCGGAUGAGCCCCAUGCACAGGCAGGAGAGUGGCGCAUUCUCUGGGUAACGAAGUAUCCUAUAGCUAGAAGAUUAGAAACAAUUCUACAUGAAACAUUUGAAAGUAUCUUUUGAUCAGUUUAUUUAUUUCUGAAGACAUAGAUUUCCUUUGGGAAACAGUAGCCCAGAGAAAGGUCUCCACAACCAAAAAGCACUGUGAAUUGUUAGUUGCAUUUUGCCUGGUCACGUGAGUGAAUUUCCUCCUGGAUUGCAUUGAAUCUGCACUGUUUUGGAGACUGGCAGAUCCGUCGUUGAUAAAGCCACAUGUGCAGGGUCAUCAUCAGUUGAUGUACUUCCAUCCUAGCUGAUACUGUUGAUUUUUCCCUGCCAGGAAGCUUCCUGACACAGCCUGCACCCCAGUGGACUUCCCAAAGCAAGUUGAGUCUGACUUCGCACCCCUGACAUCAGAAUCAUCUGACUUCUGGGCACGCCACUGAAUACUGAUGUACCUGAAGGAACCCUGGGGUGUAUGAAGAAAGGGCUUCAGCAGAAACAGAGGCUGAAGCCUGCGUGCUGGGGGCCGAGAGGCCAGAGGAGAAUGUGAUGAGACAUAGAAUUGGUAGUGCAGGAAGUUGGAAGAUCAAGUACCGUGAUGUUGGUGCUGGCUGCUUGUGUUAAACUGCCUAGGUUUUAAUCUACGGUAAUUUUCGCCCACCUGUGGGGCUCCCCUGGUGCCCCAGCUGUGAUGGGGUAACUGAACUGCCACCAGGGCCAAGCUGUCAGUGGCCCAGGAUCUGGCGCUUGGAAGAGUUCUGAGAAGCACCCCUGGAUCAAAUGAGGAGAAACAGACUUCAUCCAUACCUAUUCCCAUUGUAUUUAAAGAAGUGAAUAUUCUCAGGGAUUUCCACAGUUUUAAAAGUGUCUUUCAAUUAAAACAUUUAAAAUAAAAUAAGGUUGAGGUAACAACCAAGUUACACUUCUUCCAGCAGCACCCAGACAGCGAGAGCCCUCAGAUUUUAGAAUUUUAGAAGAGAAGAUUGUGGCCAUGUCUGGAAUUCAAAGAAGAACCAGUGAGAAGAGCUAGAUAGAACUGAUGGAUGCUGAAACAUCUAAUAUUAAAAUAGAAGGGCAACCCUAAAUGAUAAUAUAAAAUUACAAUAUUAAUGGUAGAGUAAUUAAGGAAGCCAUUAAUGUUGAAUUAUGUAUGUGUAUGUUAAACCUAUAAAUUAAAAUAUCAUGAACAUUAUACCAUCUG